rnacentral:rRNA from 1 species
ACGGCCCACCAAGGCGACGAUCAGUAGCCGGCCUGAGAGGGCGGCCGGCCACAUUGGGACUGAGACACGGCCCAGACUCCUGCGGGAGGCAGCAGUGGGGAAUAUUGCACAAUGGGUGUUAUCCUGAUGCAGCGACGCCGAUUGAGCGAGGAAGUACCUCACUACCUAAAGCUCUGUCAGCAGGGAAGAAAAUGACAAUACCUGACCAAGAAGCCCCGGCUAACUACGUGCCAGCAGCCGCGAUAAUACGUAGGGGGCAAGCGUUAUCCGGAUUCACUGGGCGUAAAGGGAGCGCAGGCGGCACGGCAAGUCUGAUGUGAAAACCCGGGGCUCAACCCCGGGACUGCAUUGGAAACUGCCGGGCUGGAGUGUCGGAGGGGUAAGCGGAAUUCCUGGUGUAGC